UGGCGUGCCGUCCCAGGCUCAAGAUUGUGCAGCUCUGCACUUCUCAUCUUCAAUUCCCUUCAAAGUUUUACAAAACCAUAUAACAAAGCAAAGCUAAAGAAUAAAGCAAUUUGUUUUAAGAAAGCUAACAAAAACUGUUUUUAAAGGCAUUAAUCCACAGCUUGAAGAAAGUUAAUAAAAGAACAAGAUUAACCCAAUACAGAUACAAGGAAGGAGAUAAUAAGAAAUAUUGGAAGAAUUCGAGAAAUCAUGGGAGGGAGAGAGAUUCUUGCUGUGGUAAUAUUGUUCUUUGGUGUUCUUCUAACGACAUCGUUUGCUGCCAAUGUGACGUAUGAUCACAGGGCCUUACUGAUCGAUGGCAAGCGCCGUGUCUUGAUCUCCGGCUCCAUUCAUUAUCCUCG
rnacentral:misc_RNA from 1 species